GAUCUCCUACGGGGCGCAGCAGUGAGGAAUAUUGGUCAAUGGUCGGGAGACUGAACCAGCCAAGCCGCGUGAGGGAGGAAGGUACAGAGUAUCGUAAACCUCUUUUGUCAGGGAACAAAGACUGGGACGCGUCCCCGGAUGAGUGUACCUGAAGAAAAAGCAUCGGCUAACUCCGUGCCAGCAGCCGCGGUAAUACGGAGAAUGCGAGCGUUAUCCGGAUUUAUUGGGUUUAAAGGGUGCGCAGGCGGUCUGUUAAGUCAGCGGUCAAAGCCCGGGGCUCAACCCCGGCCCGCCGUUGAAACUGG
rnacentral:rRNA from 1 species